rnacentral:ribozyme from 15 species
CGUGGCAGCAACGACGAAAAGGAGGAGGAAGAGGAGGACGGGGAGCCAGCAACGCUUGGGGACGAGGAGACCUCGGCGAGGACAGAGGCAGAUAAAGUGCAUGAUGAUCUUGCUUCAGUUUGGGAAGCAGUGCUCGGGCAUGGCGCU